rnacentral:lncRNA from 1 species
AACCUCCUUCAGAAACUGAACAACCAACAGAGUAUGCUCUCUGGAAUCGAUGCAACAGUAUGAUUUUAUCAUAGCUUGCUCACUCGGUGGAACAUGAUUUGGCCAAAGCAGUCGUCCAUGCCAAGACUGUUCAUCAAGUGUGGCAGGAUUUUAAAAAUCAGUUCUCACAAAAGAAUGCUCCAACCAUAUAUCAGAUACAAAAAUCCAUCGCUUCUCUCUCAUAAGGCACCAUGACAAUUUCAAACUAUUACAAGAAACUCAAAGAUCUCUGGGAUGAAUUAGAAACACAUCAAACCCCUGUCACAUGUAACGAGAUGAACGCACACAGUGCACAAAAGGAAGAAGAUCGAAUGAUGCAAUUCUUGAUGGGUCUCAAGGACAAUUACAAUGGUGUUCGUACAACAUCCUUAUGAUGUCUCCAUUACCUAAUGUUCGUCUAGCCUAUUCACUAGUCAUUCAAGAUGAGACUCAGCGACAGGUAACAUCAGCAUCAACAGAGAAUUUUUCUAUUGUAGCUGCAAUUCAUAGCAGAUCUAACAAUAUGUCGAAUAAUUCUACAAACAAACACUGUGAGCAUUGUGAUAGAAACGGUCACAAAAUUGAAGAAUGCCAGACCCUUAAAUUUCAUUGCAACUAUUGUGACAAGAGAGGACACACUGAGGAUCGAUGUUAAUUUAAAAAUGGGACAUGGGUACCCAAUGACACAGGAACUCAAGCCAGUAGACACAACCAAUCCAAGCAAUAACGUCAAGGAUCGAAAGGGAACACCAAUCCGUGUGGGUCGUUUCCUGCUGCUCACACAGUAGACAUAGCUCCAGUGUAUAGGGGCCAGUCACAUGGCUUCAGCGCGUCAACCCAGCUAGCCUCUCAAUCCAAUCUCUUACAUGAGAUCUCUGCAGAGCAACUCCAGCAACUAGCACAAGCUGUUUCUAUGAUAAGUUCAACUCAUUCCUCUGAUAAUAGCAAUGCUUAUGCUAAUACUGCAGGUUUGGCUCCUUUUUUCAACCCUUCCAUAAAUUCUGUGUUCACCAAACCUUGGAUUUUAGAUAGUGGAACCAUUGAUCACAUCACUUAUGACUCCAUAAUUUUCAUUAAAGCUGAAUCAUCACUUCCCAUUGUUAAUUUACCCAUGGGUUCCCCAUUCACUUCCACUGGCACCAUACCAUUUAAUUCAAAUAUCACAUUAGACAAAGUUUUAUGUGUUCAUCUUUUCGCCUAAAUCUCAUGUCUGUCAGCAAACUCACUCAUUCUCUAAAUUGUUGUGCCAUUUUAUUCCCCACCUUCUGUGUCUUGUAGGACUUGGCUACGGGGAAGAUGAUUGGCUCGGGUAAACAGAGUGAUGGUCUCUAUUACAUGUCUCCAUUAUAACGAACACCUGCCUCAUAUCAAGUUUCCAUUUCCUCUCAUUUAUGGCACAUGAGACUUGGACACCCAUCUCCUCCUCGUCUUAGACUAGCUUCUCUAUUAUUGCCUUCCAAAACUAUUUCCUCUAAUAAUAAUUGUAGUGUUUGUCCCAUGGCCAAAGAAACGAGACUGUCAUUCCCUCUCAGUUUAAUCUCCACUAAAACUUCAUUUGAUUUGUUACAUUGUGAUAUUUGGGGUCCACAUAAAAUUCCCACACAUUCAGGAGCACGUUUCUUUCUUACCACCAUUGUGGAUGAUUUCACUAGGUGCACAUGGAUAUUUUUUAUGCAACAUAAAUCUGAAACCCAAAACCUCCUCAAAUCUUUUGUCGUUUUUGCUCAAACUCAAUUUCAUGCCAACAUUAAAACCAUUCGGGUAGACAAUGGAUCAGAGUUUUUCUCUAUGAGGGAAUUUUUUCAGAAUCAUGGUAUUGCAUAUCAACAUACUUGUGUUUACACUCCUCAACAAAAUAGAGUUGUAGAAUGCAAGUAUCGUCACAUUCUAACCGUCACACAUGCAUUACUUUUUCAGUCUCAUCUACCCCUUAUUUUCUGGGGUGAUUGUGUCUUGACCGCUGUCUAUCUCAUUAACCGAUUACCCUCCCCGUUACUCUCGAAUAAAUCACCUUUUGAGUUUUUAUACAACCGCCCCCCCCUCAUUCGAUCACUUGAGAGUCUUUGGUUGCCUCUGUUAUGCAACUGUUGUCCAUCCUAUUCAAAAAUUUGAACCCCGCGCCACACGUUGUGUCUUUGUUGGAUAUCCUACUGGCCAAAAGGGUUACAAACUCUACAAUUUAGAGACAAACAAAUUCUUUGUCAGCCGUGAUGUUCGAUUCUGUGAACAUUCCUUCCCUUUCUCUCAGUUUCCUGCCUCAUCUACCUCUCAAACUCCUCCACUUUCCUCUGCUUUCUUGGACAACUGGACAUCCACGCCUUAUAUACCCAACCCACCAGUCCAUCCACCUAACCCAAAUGGCAACCCAUCACAUGCAUCUGAUAUACCCCCUCUCCUAUCCCACCUUCGUCCCCCAUACACAUCCCCUCACAUGAGCUGUCACCACCCAUUCCAUCCACCCCUACUCAUCCAGAUCAGCCCAUCAUUCCCCUUACCCCUCCCUGUCAGUCCACUCGUACUAAACAUCCUCUAGCAUGGCAUGCAGACUACCACAUGUUCAACCACGUCAAUCACUCAACCUUAAUGCCUCGUUAUGCAUCAAGUACUCAAUAUCCUCUUUCUCAUUUCCUUACUUAUUCACGUUUAUCUUCUGCCCAUUGUGCCUUUCUUGCUAAGAUUACAGGUCACACAGAACCUACAUCAUAUGCCCAGGCCAUUCUUGACCCACAUUGGCGUCAUGCUAUGACUGCAGAAUUAGAAGCUCUGCAACACAAUAACACCUGGAGUUUGGUUCCACUGCUCGCUGGUCAUAAACCAAUCGGCUGCAAAUGGGUCUAUAAAAUCAAACACAGGUCUGACGGAACUAUUGAACGUUAUAAGGCUCGGCUUGUUGCCAAAUGCUACACUCAAGUUGAGGGCAUUGAUUAUCAAGAGACUUUCUCCCCUACCGCCAAACUUACUACCCUACGUUUUCUUCUUGCUGUUGUUGUUGCUCGUCAUUGGUUCAUCCACCAAUUGGACGUGCAGAAUGCUUUUUUGCAUGGCAAUUUACAUGAAGUGGUGUACAUGGAGCCCCCUCUUGGUCUUCGCCAACAGGGGGAGAAUGUUGUGUGUCGGCUUAACAAGUCACUCUAUACCCUCAAACAAGCUUCUAGAAACUGGUUUUCCACCUUCUCAGAUACUAUUCAGCAAGCCCGCUACCCACAGUCUAAAGCUAAUUAUUCUUUUUUUACCAAGGCUCAAGACACUUCAUUUACUGCAGUUCUGAUCUACGUUGACGACAUACUUCUCACAGGAAAUAAUCUUCAAGAAACGGAACGUCUCAAAAAGUUCCUUCUCAAACGUUUCCGCAUCAAAGAUCUCGGAGAUUUGAAAUAUUUUUUGGGCAUCGAAUUCUCUCGUUCUAAGAAAGGCAUCUUCAUGUCUCAAAGAAAGUAUGCACUCGAUAUUUUACAAGAUUCAGGACUUCUAGCUGCACAUCCAGACAAGUUCCCAAUGGAACAGAACUUGAAACUCACUCCCACAGAUGGAACAUUACUGGAUGAUCCAUCAAAAUACAGGAGACUAGUUGGUCGAUUGAUCUACCUUACUAUCACUAGGCCUGAUAUAGUCUAUCAUGUUCAAACGUUAAGUGAAUUCAUACAUCAGCCCCGCAAAUCUCAUUGGGAUACCGCCAUACGGGUCCUUAAAUACAUCAAAGGGACUCCAGGUCAGGGUUUGUUAUUUUUUGCCACUAACAAUCUUACAUUAAAGGCUUUUUGUGAUUCAGAUUGGGGAGGUUGUCGUGCAACGAGGAGAUCAGUUACAGGAUACUGUAUUUUUCUUGGAAAUUCACUCAUCUCAUGGAAAUCUAAGAAACAAGCCAAUGUUUCAAGGUCAUCAGCAGAAGAUGAAUAUCGAGCCAUGGCCAACACAUGUUUGGAGCUGACUUGGUUACUCUUUAUACUACAGGAUUUAAAAAUCCCACAAACAGCUCCUGCACCAUUAUUCUGUGAUAAUCAAGCAGCUUCACAUAUUGCAGCUAAUACUGUUUUCCAUGAACGUACAAAACAUAUCGAAAUUGAUUGUCACAUAGUUCGAGAAAAACUACAAGCCGGAGUGAUUAGUCCUUCAUAUGUACCUACACGCUUCCAAUUGGCAGAUAUUUUUACAAAGGCAUUGAGGAAGGAUCAGUUUGUGGCAUUGCGCAACAAGUUGGGACUUCAUGAUAUUCACUCUCCAACUUGAGGGAGAGUAUUAAGAAAUACAUGUGUAAAUCUUUGUCGCACCCGACAUCGCGGCGGCCUUAAAUUUUUUUUAAAUCUUUGGAAAGAACGGAUUUCUGGCAUCCUGUUCUUUAAUGAGGAUAUUCUUUGUUUAAGGAGUCGCCACCUAGUAUUAUGGUCACUAGGAACCCUAACUGGUCAACAGAGAUUCCAUGGUACGAGACUGGUUACGCAAAAGGGAAGAUAUUAUCACCCCUUAAGCGUCCUGCCUAAGGCAGACUGCAUUGCUGACUUUGUCAUAAAUUGCUAAUGUUUUGUUGGUUUAUGCUACGGUGGUUUUGCGUGUAAUAUUCCUGACUCUGGAGUCAGUGAAUAUUUAAAACAAAAUAAAUUUAAAUCAGCUAUUUUUUAUUCCUGACUCUGGCGUCAGUGAAUAAACAAAUCAAAUAAAUUUAUUUUUACGCAUCACACAAAAAAUAAAUAAAUUUAAAUCAAUAUUUUUUUUAUUCCCGACUCUGGCGUCAAUGAAUAAAUAAAUAAAAAUAAAUUUAUUUUUACGCAUGCACAUAUUUUUUUAUAUUUUUUCUAGCUAAAUAAAAUACAACGAAUAAAAAUAAUAUAAAUUUAAACUGGUAUUUUUAUUCCUGACUCUGGCGUCAGUGAAUAAACCAAUAAAUUUACAUUAUUUUUAUUCAUGCAUGCACAUUUUUUUAUUUUUUUUAUUUUUCUGCUUUUUAUUUUUUUAUUUUUUUGGGCUGGGCCCAGCUCAGCCCAUGUGGGCUGGACUCAGCCAGCCCGGCCCGGUCACUGGCCCAAAGCCAGUGACCCGGCUGGGCAAAAAAAUCUAAAAGCACGCGUGAAAUGAAUUCACGCGUGCAUGAACACUGUGUGAAGGUAAUUAAAUUACCUUCGCACAGUGUUCUUGUAACAAUUCAAUUUGAAAUGAAGAUGCAAAAGGGGAUGAAGAAACAGGCGUACCUGCUGGCGAGGCGUAGCUGAAAACGAUGGCGCACUGUGCUGGACGACGACACUGCCUCCUCUUGCUUCUGUUUCUUUUCUUUUGCUUUCUUUAUUUCCCGCUGUGCCCACGGUCCUCUCUUCUUUUGUUUGCUCAGUUCUUGAGAUGAACGAACUAAGAAGGUAAUGGGUAUACCGGUUUUCUCUGACUGAUUCCGGGUCUUUCCUUUGUCUGCAGGGACAAAAGCAAUGGCUAAGCCAAUACUCCUAUCUGUCCUGCUCCUUUACUUUUCCUUCUCUUUUCUGUGUUUUGUUUUUUUGCUCUGUAUUUCUGCUCUCUGUUUUUGCUCUCGUUUUCUCUGUUUUUGGGUUCAUCCCCUCCUUCUGCUAUGCUCUGCCUUUUAUAAGGCCCAAAGAGCUUGCCCCUCAAACCAGUCCUGGCUUUGCAGGACUGUUAUCCCUCCACGAACGGGAUUGUGGGCAGAGAACGUGGUCACGAUUGGGUCGGCUUUGCUGCCGAUUUUCCAGCUUCCCUGUUGAAUCGGAAUGAAGAAGAUGCACGACUGUUCCCCAGCAACGGUGCCGUUUCGACAGAAAUGGAAAUAUUCACUUUGACCCCUAAACAGUUUAAACUUAACAAUUGGGAUCCUAAUCAGUAAUAAUUGAUUUCUAACUGGGCCCUUAGGUUAAUUUCAAUUAAAUCCCUGAAU